CAGCGGCAUCGCCCUUAGGAGGCGUUCAGCGUCCCGACAGCCCAAACCGCGCAGAGGGAAAAUCGGGAAAAGUUGUCAAAGCCUUUUUUAAAUCGAGUCUUUUUUAGCAGGCUCAUAAGGGUUUUGGCUUGGUUUUUUGUUUGUUUGUUUGUUUUUAAAAUGUCCUUGGGACAUAUCGCGUAGUGGACUUCAGCAAAUAAAACUGCAAGACACUCUUAAUUCCCAGGAAUUUUAGUAAGCUGUAUCUUGAUGAAGAGUGUUGCUUUAAAGAUAGUUUUUUGAGUUUACAUCAAUCAAGACAUCACUUUCUUUCACAUUUUUCCAGAACGCAGAAGAAAGAGAAGAGAAAGGUAUAAUGGUGUUAUUUAAUCCUGGUUUGAACAAUGCCAGUAAUCUAUAUUUAAGAGAGACUGAAAGUAAAGCAUAAAGACCAUGAAAUACACUCUGAAUAACUUAAAAUUCUUAGUGUUGUAAAUUUUACUUGCUUUAAAAAAAAUCCAAGAUAUACUCAGCAGAAUUGUGUUCAUUUAGGUUACAAUAUUAAUUUCUUCUUGUUGUAUAAUUGAAUAUAAUAUAAUGCUUUUUUUUCCUUUUUAUCGCAAAAAACUUAGUAAGCCAAAAGCAGACAAUGAGAGGGAACCAAUGUGUUCCACUUCAAAGGAUGGGUAAACCUCCACUUAUGAUUCUGAUGUUAUAGUUAGGAAUUUCCUAACAACCCCUGGGUUUUAACAAAAAAUUUGUAACUUGGUGCCUCUCCUAUGGGAGUUCAUAUUUUUGUACAGUAUCGGUGAGGGAGGAGUGUGGAGGGUAAGCAAGAACACAAGGAAAAAAAUAAAUUUUAAAAUAAAACCAAAGAAACAAGUUAGCAUAAAUAUAUUCCCUAAGAGAUUUUUAUAACCCUUGCAAACACGUGGCAUUGCUGCCAAUAAGGAGCUCUAUCAAGAAAUAGAACCCCAGUGUGCCAACUUCUUAACAUAAUGCUGUGAGAUAUUUCAGUCCUGGCCUGUGGGUCUGCUGCUCUUCUUCCUCUCUAGUGCACGUCUGCACAGUGGUACUUGGCCAUCUCCAAGUCCUCAAGAUCCACUUGAGGACCAAGCUUAAAAUGUAGGUAUUCAGAGGCAAAGAAGUUAGUUGAUGAGCUGGCUGGGGCUUAACGAAGGCAGUAAUUUGUUGUGAUCACUAAGUUAUCUGCCUGAUUUAUAUAGUCAAAAGUCUUGAGUGCCACUGCAAAAAAUGUUGGCACCUGAGAAACAGAAUCCUGUUUGGAGUUUGAAAAUCCAAUUCAAAACACAGAGGAGAUUGAUUUGAAUAACUGGUUAAACUAAUGUGUUCAGUAACUGAACUGGAUUGUGUAAAAGAACUCGGGAAAAAGCCAAACACUGGUUUUGGAAAGAGAGAAAAAUGCAGCAGUUGAGCUGCCUUUUGGCUCUCAGAAGAGCUGAGCUUUAUUCUCUGCCUGACUCACUGGGGUAAUUUCCUCUAUUUAUGGCAGCUUUGAUAUUCCUGAAAGCACCAUGCAGGAUCAGCACUGUGUACAGGCAGGGGCAUGAAGAAACCAGUUACAUAUUUCCAAACAAUUUUCUAGUCGAUUGGACAAGAAAUUAAAGUGUUCUGCACCUCUGAUUUGGUUUCUGCAGAAAUCUCUGUUUUUAUAAUGAGCUGGUUACUGCUGUGCAUCUCCUAAGGAUCUGGUGGCUGAAAUUCCCAUGCUGAGAGUCUGUCCUCAGAUCUCGUCUCACUGCAGCAAAAAUCUGGUCACUGAAUAGAGAUGUGUAGACUUUAAUUACAGAAAUACUGACAGUGCUCAUAAAGGCAGUGCUCAUUUGUCAAAUGUACUCACAGAUGUAAGAAGAGCCUUGCACUCAAAAGAAGAGAAUCAAAAAACACAUGAAAAAAACUGCUUGGGCUGGCUUCACUCACUUGUGGAGAGGUACUUUUUGCUUUGGAGGUGAUGAGAAGAUUAUUUAUUUUGCGCAAAGUUUUGCUGUGGUUCUCCAGCAAAGGCAGGAGCUGAGAGGCUGGAUCUCCAGAUUUCCAGCCACCUACCCCAGCCCCAGAGAUGCUUUUCUAAACUGCAGCUUGCUUCUACAGAAUAUGCAACACUCUUCCUUAAUUUGACUUCUACAUUUGGGUAUUCAGGAGUGCGUGUGAGGCAUAACUUAGGACAAGACUGGGUGUGCAGGCAUGCUGCAGAGACACCACAGCAGCAUUGUUUGUUAUGGCCACAGCCUGGCCACGUUUCAGUAAAUGUCAAAAGUGCCAUUGGCAAUCUGGCCAGAGUUCCAGUUAUAAAUCCCAAAUUAGCAUCUGGGGAUGAUGACAUUGUGGCUGGCCAGAGGCGCACUACAGAUUUCAGAGCUGUUGAAAACAUAUCGGGGCUGUCACAUGCCUUGGACAGAAUUCAGGUGGGGCUGCAGAGAUGAGAACAUUUAAGGAGGGUCUUCUUUCAUAUGCCUGUAUCUACUUGUUUUCUGUUCUUAUCCUUUAAUAAAUUAUAUGUUUUAUUACCUGCUCGGAGUUUAUAAUACUCUCUCUUGGCAAGUGAAAUACGCCUAUAUCUGUUUGGCUUUGCCCGCAUUUACUAGAGAGGAAAAUCACAGAUCCCUUCCCAGUUCCUGUGGUAUUCCUACUGUCUUUAGUGACCUAGCAAAUAUAUUUACACGUUACUUUUUAAUUUCACUGGAUACCAUGUCUUUAGUGGUCUUAGUAUGUGUUUCAUCAUAGAACUUUUAAUAGUUACUUUGCUGUACCAUGUUAGAAAAACUCCUACUAUUGUCCAGGAAAAAAAAGUAUUUCUGACUGAAUGAAAAAAAAAAAGAAACAACAAAAAUUAAUUAUUAUUUCCAUGGUGUCACUAGAGCAUGGCCUGGUACUUGUGUCUCAACCACUCUUACUGGAAUGCUGUAACCUGAGGUAGCAGCAGGAAUCCUGAACCACCAGACCAUCUGACCAGGUUCUGCUGGGUGACAGCCUGGGAACAGGAUUUCUACAGAGAAAAUCUGCUCCUGGCCUGUGUGGCCAGAUCUGGAAACUUCCAAAAUUAUGGUUGCCAAGACAAAGAAGGCCUCUCUCAGUGACAGGCCAAUAGAUAAGAGUUGUCCAUCCUGUGUGUUACCAGCUGUGUCUCUAGGAGAUUACUUUUUUGGUAACACAAAGAGGUUCCCACAAAGACAGUCAGGCUGAGAUCAGACUGCCUGAAGAAAUAGUAGAAUUUCUUUUCAAGGAAGAUUUCAUGAGGAUAAAGCCAUGAGUGAGCUGCUCUGAGCACACUGUUUGACCCUGCUUUGGGAAGAAGGUUGCACCAAGACGUGGUUUGACUCCUGCACAAAUAUGUUCAUGGGCAAGGGUAACUUCAAUCUUGGCUCUGAUGUAAGAUCCCACACCAUGAUGGCUGCAGGGUGGGAGGGAUGUGCUGCUGGCAUGCACUACUGGGCAGCAGAGGGUCCCUCAGAAGCUGCUGCAUGCAGGUACCUGUGGGAACACUGCUGUGCCCACCCCGUGCCACUGGCCAUGCUCAUAUGGCCAGUGACACCAGUUUGGAGGCCUUCAACAGUGGUGUGUGCUGCAGAAGAAGAAAUUGGACUGGCAUUUAAUUUAUUGUGGGGAGGUGGCCACUAUAAAUUUGACUUGUGUAUGCUAGUAGUACAUCACCUGCUGAGAAAGCCAACUGUAGACUUAAUUGUCAGCAAUACGAGACGUAUAUUUUUCCUAAUUGGCUUCAGUGCAAUUAUAUCCAAAGGCCCUUUUCACAGUCAUGCACAGAGCUUAAUUGGUAUAGUUUAAUAUUGCAAUCUAAAAAGGCCUGUAAGGAGAGCUGAUAUUAGGCUAGGUUCCUGAUUAAUUAUAAUUAUCACUUUUUGUAGAUGGAUGGAAAACGUUUCAUAUUGAAUUAGUCUUGUUACAUAAAUUAAUAUUGUGCUCUGGAUAAAGCACUUCUGAAUUCACAUCUAAAAUAUUUUUAAGAGCACCAAGUUUGUGCCAGAGUUUUACUUGGCAGGUCAAUUUGUCUUUUAAAAUUAUUUGACUUCUCAGUAACAUCUUAUGAUAGGUUUCUGCAUUGAAGAUGUUUGGCAAUGACAGAAUGAUUCAAGGGUUGGACAGCAAAUAAAGUAAAAUAUAAUAAAAUAAAACUAUGCAACUAGCAUGAUUUCCCAGUUCUAUGAGCAUGGGGGAUUCACAGUCUGAAUGACAGGAAUUCAUAUCAUGACUGUCACACAUUUUCUUCCUGUAUUAAUUUCAUCUCCGUCUGAGGGUGUUUGCGAGACAUGAACCACUAAUCUAAUACUUUGAAAACAGGAAAGCUCAUUAGCAGCUCUAGGGAAGGGAGUGAGAUGGGUGAGGUUUAAAAGUAAAGGAAGUGUGACAGUUUUAAGGAUUACUCCACAUGCAAUCUGUUUGUGCUCUGUAAAAACCCAAAGAUUUUUGUAUAUCUUGCAUUUCUCAUUAACGAGACCUGCCGUGAAUAAAGUAAACAGGCAAAUGGAAAGGUGUCAGCUGAAGAUGUCAGGCUGCAUUUCAAGGAGUGGAUUAUAGAGUGGAUUACAGACAGUCACUCCCCAAUGACCGGCAGCUUCAUGGCCUAGUACAUGCAGCCAACAUGUCAGGUGUUGAACACGGCCCCUUCCAACAGGCCUCAUCACACAUUCAGUUUAAGUUUCCAGAGCAACUGAAGUCUGUGACUCCAACAGGGUCGGUAUUUUUCAAGAGCAUAAAGUGUGAAUAGAUGGCCACUUUCUGGCAGAAGAUAGCGGGAAUAUUGUGUCAAGACACUCCAUGCAUAUGGAAGCCCACUCCAGAAUUUUUCUGCAUGCAUGCCCUCUUGUGUAUGCAGUACAUUACAGCUUACCAUAUAUAUCAAAAUUUGGCACUACUGUGUCUUCCUAAACAUUGCAUUAAUCCAUCUGUCUGUCACCAUGGUAACAAGGCUCCCUAUUGAUGACUGAAGAAGAGCUGAACCAUUAAAACUAAAUGUAGACUGUUAAAAAAAAAAUCAGUAAGCUCACUUGGAAUAGCACUACAGAGACACAAAUGGUCAAAAAUAGGCUAAUAUUUUUCAUGCAUUAUUUUUAAAGAUUAUGUAUAUUAUGGAUCUGAAAUAAAGCCUGUUAUUAAAAUGAUCCUUAAAUCUGA